GGCAAUCCUCUCGGGUUCCUUUCCACAUUGUGGAAGCUUUGUUCUUUCGCUUUUUGCAAUAAAUCUUGCAACUGGUCACUCUUUGGGUCCAUGCUGCUUUUGUGAGCUGUAAGACUCACCGUGAAGAUCUGCAGUUUCAUUCCUGAGCCCAGCAAAACCACGAGCCUACUGGGAAAAACAAACAACUCCAGAUGCGCUACCUUAAGAGAUGUAACACUCACUAUGAAAGUCUGCAGCUUCACUCCUGAGCCAGUGAGACCACGAACCCACCAGAAGAAAGAAACUCCGAACACAUCUGAACAUCAGAAGGGGCAGACUCCAGACCCACCACCUUAAGAGCUGUAAUGCUCACCGUGAGGGUCCGUGGCUUCAUUCUUGAAGUCAGUGAGACCAAGAACCUACCAAUUCUGGACACACCAUUAUUGUUUUGUUUAAGUAAUAACAGUUUUGCAAUGGAGAAACAAAUAUUGCAGAAUAAUAUAUAAUUUCAAACAUCUAUUUUUAAAAUUUGAUGUCAAAGUAAUACAUGCAUUUAUUAUAUAAUUGUUGGAUUUUUUUUUUGUGGGGGUGGAAAGGUUUGGUAUGGCUAUGUCUCAGUUGGCUCCCUAAAAAGUUGAACAGCAACAGCAACUGGUUCACCAGUUUGGGGAAACACUAUUUAUGAAAAGAAUAAAGAAUUAAGAGGUCUCAGUGAGCUUCAAGGACAACGUCUGGCUUAACAGAUAAAAAUGGAUGGUUUGAUAGAUAAUAAUGGUUUAUAGGUGAUUGGAGGUAACAGGAUGAUUGCCAAUGGCUUUUCCUUCUUUUCAGAUACUUAUUCUUUGGGUCAUGAAACUGCUUCUGCCUGAAUAAUAAAACAAUUUUAGCAACACUGAAGGAAGUUAUUAUUUCCUUUCUGCUGUGAAAAAAGAUUAAAAGAGGUCAUCUCAUAAACUUGAGGCUGGUAUACUUGAGGUCUUUCAUUAACAUUCAAGGAUUUAAUAUUUGUGAAAGAA
rnacentral:lncRNA from 1 species